GCUUACGGUUAGGACCAAAGAGGGGGCGAUCGGUAUCGUCAUCGCCGGAGAAGAAAUCGUCAUCUAGGGUUCCGACGCGGGUGAGAUGGAGGAAGGGGCGGCGGUGGCGGCGAGAAGGAGGGCGGUGAAUGCGGUGGUGUGGGGGGUGGAGGUGGUGGCCGGCGAUGUCGAGACGGGAGAGAAGGGAUUUAAGAGAAGGGUCGCGGUCGAUGAAGGUGGUGAGGACGUGGGUUCCAUUCUCGACGAGGGAGCGGAAAGAAAAGAGGAGGAGGGAGAGGAAGAGGAAGGUGAAGAGAUUGGCGGA
rnacentral:misc_RNA from 1 species